rnacentral:misc_RNA from 1 species
AAGUCGUAACAAGGUUUCCGUAGGUGAACCUGCGGAAGGAUCAUUACCACAUUAUAAUCGGGGGGGAGACUUCGGUUUCCCCUGUCUGAACCCUUGUCUUUUGCGUACUAUUUGUUUCCUUGGUGGGCUUGCCCGCCGAUAGGACAACCAUUAAACCUUUUGUAAUUGCAAUCAGCGUCAGAAAAACAUAAUAAUUACAA